rnacentral:rRNA from 1 species
UAAUACGUAGGGGGCAAGCGUUGUCCGGAUUUACUGGGCGUAAAGCGCCUGUAGGCGGCUGAUUAGGUCCUAUCGUGAAAGGCAGGGGCUCAACCCCUGGAUGGCGAGGGAAACCGAUGAGCUGGAGAGAGGCAGAGGAAGGUGGAAUGGUCGGUGGAGCGGUGAAAUGCGUAGAGAUCGAUCGGAACACCCAAGGCGAAGGCAGCCUUCUGGGCCUCAUCUGACGCUGAGAGGCGAAAGCGUGGGGAGCGAACGGGAUUAGAUACCCCGGUAGUCCACGCCGUAAACGAUGGUCACUAGGUGUGGGAGGUAUCGACCCCUUCCGUGCCGGAGCUAACGCAAUAAGUGACCCGCCUGGGGAGUACGGCGCCAAGGUU